rnacentral:rRNA from 1 species
UGUAGCUUGACAUUGGGUCUUGGUACUACAUGUACAGGAUAGGUGGGAGGCUUUGAAACCAGGACGCCAGUUUUGGCGGUGCCAUCCUUGGGAUACCACACUUGUAGUAAUGGGAAGCUAACCAUAGGCCCUGAAACUGGUCCUGGGACACUGUCAGGUGGAAAGUUUGACUGGGGCGGUCGACUUCCAAAAGGUUACUGGGGCGCUUAAAGUUUCUCAGAGUACGGUCGGAAAUCGUACGUAGAGUGUAAAGGCAAAAGAGAGCUUGAUUGCAAGACAUACAGGUCGAGCAAGGAUGAAAAUCGGACUUAGUGAUCCGGUGGUUCUGCGUGGAAGGGCCAUCGCUCAACGGAUAAAAGCUACCCUGGGGAUAACAGGCUUAUCUCCCCCAAGAGUCCACAUCGACGGGGAGGUUUGGCACCUCGAUGUCGGCUCAUCACAUCCUGGGGCUGUAGUAGGUCCCAAGGGUUGGGCUGUUCGCCCAUUAAAGUGGUACGCGAGCUGGGUUCAGAACGUCGUGAGACAGUUCGGUCCCUAUCCGUCGCAGGCGUAGGAAAUUUGAGAAGACCUGUCCUUAGUA